UGAGCAACUCAGACAUUUAUAGAUAGUUAAGAUGGCACCGGUAAGCAUAUAAGCACACAUAGCACAUAUUACUAGAUGCAGGCUUGAAGGCCACAAUUACUUAGAUAAGCGAUAAUUAACCGCACAAGACUUGGCAUAAGUUCUGGUGGUCCUGAACAGUCUGGCCAACUGCCAGGUCCAUCCAGCUGCUUGUAUCAAGGUCUUUUGCUGGGCUGCACUGAUAAGGAACUACUGUCUGUCCUUGAAGACAGGUAUAUAAGACUAAGGGAAUCUUGCGCUCACUUGGAGAACUACCCACCUGUAAUGCGGACGCGUGUUACUGGUUUCUGCUGUUCCCAGAAGAGAGGGUCUCUCCGAAUGACUGCCUGAGUUCUCCCCAGUCAUGUGUGGCAAGGAGACAACCAAGCUUCUCUAAUGACAAGAAAGCCAAGAUCUCAGAGGCGUCUGUUGAAAAUUCUAACUCACUUUUGGGAUUGGCUACUUGGGCCCAUCAGAAAUGUGGACACUUGGGAGAGAAAGCCACUCACAGGCGAAGCUCAUUGGUCCGGCUGUUAUUGUGAUGACCGUGCUUACUCUACACCCUUUGGUCGGCUCAGAUACCAACAAUGAGAUUGGAGGUUGGGACCAGAGUGAUUCCGCAGAGAUGAGAUGGAAAGAGAUCGAAAUAAGAGUAACCUGCCUGACCAUUAACUGUCCAAACAUGAGAGCAAACCUCUAUGGAGAAGGCUAUUUUAGCCACAAUGAAACUGAGUCAAUGACCUAUAUUAAGUUACCAAAUGAAUCAUUUGGUUUGUUAACGUUAGAAUCUACAACGCCCUUUGGCUGCCGCAUACUGUAUACACCUGUAAGCUCUAAGAGCUUACCCAAUAUUGGGAAAGUUGUGCAAAUCAGCAGAGCACAAAGAGAACCUACACUAUUAUACACUGGUUAGCUAAUGCUACAAAAUACUCCUGGAUAGGAGGGCUUGGGUUGAAAAUAAUAAAAGGUAUUGCAUGGUGUGUUUUUAUUAUACUUUGUAUUUAUCUGUGCUACAAAAUUACAGUUUUCUGCAUUCAAAGCUUUGCUAGCUUAAAAAAUAAGUCAUAGUGUAGCGCUAGAAGAGUUUUAAUUAGGUUUGAAUCGGUUCCAGGUGUG